rnacentral:rRNA from 1 species
UCCAGACUCCUACGGGAGGCAGCAGUGGGGAAUAUUGCACAAUGGGCGCAAGCCUGAUGCAGCCAUGCCGCGUGUAUGAAGAAGGCCUUCGGGUUGUAAAGUACUUUCAGCGGGGAGGAAGGGAGUAAAGUUAAUACCUUUGCUCAUUGACGUUACCCGCAGAAGAAGCACCGGCUAACUCCGUGCCAGCAGCCGCGGUAAUACGGAGGGUGCAAGCGUUAAUCGGAAUUACUGGGCGUAAAGCGCACGCAGGCGGUUUGUUAAGUCAGAUGUGAAAUCCCCGGGCUCAACCUGGGAACUGCAUCUGAUACUGGCAAGCUUGAGUCUCGUAGAGGGGGGUAGAAUUCCUAGUGUAGCGGUGAAAUGCGUAGAUAUUAGGAGGAACACCAGUGGCGAAGGCGGCCUGCUGGACGACAACUGACGGUGAGGCGCGAAAGCGUGGGGAGCAAACAGGAUUAGAUACCCUUGUAA